GCCUGGGUGGCUCAGUGGUUGAGCAUCUGCCUUUGGCUCAGCGUGUGGUCCUGAGUCCUGGGAUCAAGUCCCAAAUCAGGCU
rnacentral:tRNA from 1 species